UAUAGACACAUUGGGAUGGUAUAGACACAUUGGGAUGGUAAACUAACCAAACAAAAAGGCUGAUCUAAUGAAAGAAAACCUGUUUACAAACUCUAUCAGAAUCUAAGUAGUUGGACAAGUGGGUGUGGCUGAAAGAAACUACAAAAGAUACCAAUAAAUCAAUGAACUUAAGACUCAGUAGUAAAAAAAAAGUUCUUAAGUAUUAUAAUAUAACUAAUCUAAAUGCCAGUGAAUAAAGUGUGUGCACUACUAGGACCUACAUUGAGAAGUCCCAUCUAAUUAAUCAUAGAAUAGAAAUGCUAGAUAAUACUUUAAAAAAAAAAAGCAGUAGUACAAGGGAUAUCACACAAAUAGUACAAGAAAUAACACACAAAUAGUACAAGAAAUAACACACAAAUAGUACAAGGGAUAUCACACAAAUAGUACAAGAAAUAACACACAAAUAGUACAAGAAAUAA